UACUGUAACUUGGGCAUUCACAUGGGGAUUGUUUGUCUCUGCAUGGAAAAAUGAACUCACUGAUUAGCAUACUGUUUGAUUAUCUUCAUUAGUCUUCAGCCACACUUCCUUAUUUGUGUUUUUGUCCUUGUAUGUGUGUGUGUGUGUUUGUGUUUUGACCUCUUUCACACAGAGAGACCCCCAAUUGUGCUCUAGUAGCCAGCCGAGCUCAGUGAAGCAGAGCCUAUAUGCUCACUGGCAUUUCACACACCCAAACGCGUACAUGUAAACACACACGAUCAUCAUUUAUCCAGCUGGGGUCCCAUGCGACACACACACACACACACACACACACACACACACACACACACACACACACACACAUAGAUGCAGACAUCAGCUUGCAUAUGGAAAUAAUGGUUGAGGUCUCAUCCCCUAAUGUACACCUUGCAUAGCACCUCUCUGCAGCGGGAAACCCGUCAGCCGUAUCUCCACUGUUAUCUGUCCACCUCUUGCUUGACUCUGCAGGUCAGCCAGCCCCCAGGAUUUGAAGCACACUUCCGCCUUAAAAGUUGUAUGCCACUACCUUUGAUAAUCAAGAUAGAACCUAAUUAAGCUUACCCAUGCAGAAGAUGCUCUCGCCUUUUUUUGCACACACACUUUUUGAGGAGAUGGGGGCCUAUACUGUUUCAGCUCAUCCAACUGUGAGAUUCUCCUUUCCCCUCCCUAGUCCUGCCAUCAUCUCACUAAUGGUGUUUCUAUCUCUUCUCCAUAGGAGGUAAAUGAAGCUUUUAAGCAGGGUGGAGGGAAGGGGGACCACUGCAAAGAUUAAUUGACUUUCUGCAGAGCUUCACUUAUCCUCCACUGGCACCUUUUGACUUGUCAGAGGUCCAGUCAUGCUACAGAACAACCAUUCCAGACUGGGGGGGCUUGUCAUCUGUAUCUACUCAUAUCCUACAAUCUCUUUUGCUCUGAGCACUACUGCACUUAAAUGUCAGGGCUGAUGAGUCUGCCACACCCACCUGACACAUCCGCUCAGCGCCUGCUAAAAGCUUUUAUGGAACAGAGUGUGAGCCUGGUGGUUGAUAUAAAUUAAAGUGUUCUUUGCUUCUUUUUUGGGGGGGGGGGGGGGGGGGGGGGGUUAUAGGCUCUAAAAAGACAACUUUGAGUAAGAAAUAACGAGAGAGAGCAAGAGCAUAGGCUAUGAUUGGUUGCCAUCUGGUGGCUUGCUGCCACAUUUUAAUGGAUAGAAAGAAAGAUACAGAUACUGAACUCUCACCGCCUAAAACUGUAUUAUGUUUCACAUUAAUCAGACAAAGCAAAUAAUAUACAAAUCCUCCACUUUCUUAGUUUUAUAGUCAUAAUCUCAUAUUGAUUGAAAUGCCUGCAAUCUGACAUAAUAUUCAAAUGAACAAAUUGCAAAAACUGUUUAUUUUGAAACAAUAUAUAAUAAUAAAUCUGAAAGAGAGUUGUUACGAUUUUGUUGUGGGUUAAGUCAGGGAAGCUCAAAGAGUUUCAUAUUAUUUUAAAAUUAAUUUAAAUGUUGCAGCAAAACCUUUUUUUUCCUGAACUGCUAAUAACUCAUCAGUUACUAUGGCAUGAAUGACAUGUUUGGAAACAUUUUAAUUGAGACCUUGUGUAUUGAAUAUAAAAACUACAUUGGCAUGUCUGGACUAAAUGCAGUGACAUCUACAUGGCUUUCAUAAAUGUGAUGUGAGUGUAACAUAUUGCAGUAUUUAAUGUUAUUGUACAACAUUUUUAAGAUUGAUUACUUUGUUAUACGCAAAGUGUUAUGUCUUUGUCUACUAAGCUAAGUCUUGAACUAUGCAAUCUUUAACUUUUCUUUCCUCAUGUUACCCCUCAUAAUUUAUACUUUAAUUAUGCUCAAACUGCUUUAAGCUCAUAGUUCUUACUUUGAGAUUUAAGGAAAGUUAAGCAAGAAUUGUGCAAUGGCUUUGCCUUUAUCAUUUUGGGUCCAAAAUGUGUCUAUUGUUUGGAGAUGUAAUGUUAAAUAUUGCAUUGUACCAACAGACCUUUAUUUAUUUACAGAUGAAAAGUUUGACGUGUCACAGUAGGAAAAGCCCAAGAGUAAAUAAUAAAAAAGAAUGAUGCUUGAUGCAUCA